UCGGAUAUGGUGUAACGGCUAACAUGGCUGUCUUUCACCUGAUUACGUCAGCAGAUCACAGCAGCCCCGGGUUCGACUCCCGGUAUCCGAA
rfam:Paxillus involutus ATCC 200175 unplaced genomic scaffold PAXINscaffold_10, whole genome shotgun sequence.